GCCGGUGGCCUAAUGGUUAGAGCGUCCGCCUCGGAUGCGGAGAUCGUAUGUUCUAUCCCCGGUCGAAUCAUAGCAAAGACU